UGAAUACUCCCUCCGUCCCAAAAUUCUUGUCUUGGUUUGUUUUAAAAUGGAUGUAUCAAAAUACUAAAAUAUGACUAGAUACAUUCACAUAUAUACAAAUCUAAGACAAGAAUUUUGGGACGGAGGGAGUACUUA
rfam:Hordeum vulgare subsp. vulgare, WGS project CAJW01000000 data, contig: morex_contig_45537